rnacentral:lncRNA from 1 species
GGAAACUUCGGUGAAAUCGAAACUACUGGGGAAAGGGAGGGCCCCUGAGAGAGUCCAGGCACCUGGACCACAGCUGCCUCAUCCCCACCAUGAGCCGCACAUCCCAACCCUUCUUCAACGGUGCCCACAGCGGGGUCCUCCCAAGCUAUGAGAUGAUCAAGGAGGAGCACGAGGUGGCCGUGCUGGGGGCUCCCCAGAGCCAGGCCCCCGUGACCACCACGGUGAUCAACAUCCGCAGCGAGACCUCAGUGCCCGACCACAUCGUCUGGUCCCUGUUCAACACGAUCUUCAUGAACUGGUGCUGCCUGGGCUUCGUGGCAUUCGCCUACUCCGUGAAGUCUAGGGACCGGAAGAUGGUGGGCGACGUCGUUGGGGCCCAGAGCUAUGCCUCCACCGCCAAGUGCCUGAACAUCUGGGCCCUGGUCCUGGGCAUCUUUCUGACUAUUGGAUCGAUCGUUCUUCUGGUGUUUGUUUACCUGAAAGCCUACCAGAUGGCUUUACAGGUGGCGAAUAAUGGAGGCUACUAGCCGCUGGACACGGAGGCAACCCAGUUCCCCCACCGUCCACGGCCGGCCCUGCACCUGGGGCUCUGGGCCCGCCCCCUCCCCCCACCCCUUUAUACAGCAGUUUAUGGAGACAGAGCUGUCGACAGCUGAAUUCAAUAAAGUGCACUCGUCUGUGAAGGUGCUGUGAUGUCCCCGGGGAGGGGACACUGCUGUGAGUCCCCGGUGGCCUCGGGGAAGCACAGAGCGCUCCGCUGUGGGCUGACAGCAGAAGCCCAGAGCAGAGCUGGUGACCCCGCCCCGGUCGACAGAAACCCCCAGAGGAAAGACCACUCCCUCCCACGCAAACGUGGCCGCCCUGCUGGGUGGCAGCGUCUCACAGACACUGGGGACCCGAGCCUGGGCUGCACACGGGGAGGUGGGGACCCGCCUCAGCCCAACGCAGGGAGAGACACCCCAGGCAGGCAGGUAUUCCUGUCUCUGAGCCCCAGAGGGAGAGGGCGCGGGGGACGCACCCCGCCGGCUGACCCACCGCGCCCUGCACAGUAUCCCAGGUGUGCUGUGCGUCACCCAGGAGAGGCUGGAGGAGUCCAGGCAGCCCGAGGCUGGUGCUGGGGCAGUGACCCCUUCCCCACAGGCCCCUCGGGGAUCCAGGCUCUUCUGGGCUCCCUCACUGGGCUGAGGUCCAGUCCUGUCCGGCUCUCAUUGAAUUUCACAGCACUCUUCACGGUGGAUUUCCUUCCGUCCUGGCACCUAGGACUAUAGACACCAAACCCUCACAAGGCCCUACCUCGGGGGCUAUGUAGGUUGGGGUCCUCCCUGGAGGACGGUGACUCAGACGAGGUCGCCCGCUCUCUCUUGGGUCCCACAUGUGAGCUCGGCAGGCUCGGCCCCAGGGAAGCUGGGUCCCGGAGGAGGGGAGGCUGGCGGACCUGCCUCUCUGAGUCCAGGAAGGACACUCUCCCAGGCAGGGGGCGGGGGGACAGAUGUGUGACCCCAACCCCCCACACCCCCGACCCCGGCUGGCCGACUAGGCGCGUCCCACGUUCCCCUGUCGGGCGGACAGCGGUCACGAAGGGUGGUGGCACUGAGUGUAACCCCGUCACUCUUCACGGAUUCGGGGUGAGGGUCGUGCUAGGUGGGAGACCAGCUGGUGCAGGCAGCCAAGAUCCCGUGGUCUGGAGCUUCCGAAAAUUCACAGGAGGCCCGAGGCAUCAAGCAGGGGACCUGAGGGUCCUUCGAAGGUCCUGGGCACGGACUGCUGGGUCAUGAGCAGCCUAGUCCUCGGAGCCACCCCAGCUCUGGUUCCGAUGUGGGCGGCCACAGUGUCCUGGGUCACCUGUGGGUGGGCGGUGCUGGUUGGGGUGGGUGACCUGGGCUGGGCGGAGAGCGUCCAGGGAGCUGAGAGGAUGCAGAGCUGGGAGGACACAGAGCUGGGAGGACACAGACCUGGGAGGACACAGACCUGGGAGGGUGUGAUCUGGGAGGACAAAGACCGGGGGGGACCAGAGCUGGGAGGACACAGUGGGAAGACACAGAACUGGGACGUCAGAGCCCUGGGCAGGGCCGCACAGGUGGGCCGGCAGCAAGGGUGAGAGGUGUUUCUGGUCCUUUCUCCCAGUAGCCCUCAGCAGAGAAGUCUCUGUUAUCGCUUUGCCUGGAGUCUGGCCUGGAGGAAGUCUGACGUUAGGAUUCCUGAAGAUGCCCUGCCCGGGUUUGGUCCUGAGGGAGUGAGGGCAGAGCAGGACAGAUGUGCUCCUGGUGGGGACGAACAUCUCUCCUGGCCUCGCCCCUGGCCCCCUUCCUGAGCGCUGCUGGUCCGGGAAGCUUCCACCUGCCCAGCCCACCCAGCAGGGGUCUGAGUCGCUGGGCAGCGCCCCCUGCCUGACUCCAGGGCUUUACUGGCUGCUGGCCCCUCCUCACCUUGGAGUCAGUCCUUCCCAAUCCAGAGGGGUAGGUCUGCCAGCCUCCCCUCCUCCAGGACUUCCUUGGGGCUGUCCCCUCCCUGCUCACGUGUGACAGACCCCGGGGGAGAGGGGCUCCCUCAUGGCCACGCUGGGACCCCAGCCCCUCGGCCAUCUCCUGGAGCCAGGGGACUGCAGCUGGGGACAGAUAAAGGGGCGUGGGUGCGGGUCAGGAGGGGAUCGACAGCUGGGGUCGGGUGUCAGGGGACGAAGGGGAGGCUAGGGCCACCCCACCUCACACCGCACCUGCCCAGCUGGUUGUGGGCAGGGUCUGCCCUGGGGCACCCCAAGUGCCCACACAUCUGGAGGCCUGACAGAACCAGGGAUGGGGUCUGAUUUCCAGGGCAGGGCAGGGGUUUCUCCUCCUCCUGGGGGCUGUCUCUGCAGCGGUGGCCCGUGCACUCUUGUAGCCUUCCUGAGCUGACGGGGUCCUACGAACAGCAAAGCGGAGGCACGUGUCAAAGGGUCUGAAAGGGAGCAGGGGAGCCACUGCGGACCUGGAAUUUGCACACGUCCUGGCCGCCCUGGGACCACCUGGAACCUGUUGUCUUUGCUCCCUGGAAACCUCAGUUUAGCAGCCAAUCAGCUGCCGACAUGUGACCCAAUGCCUGCUAGCACUGAUCCCGCUUUGUAAAACAACCCCUGUAACUUCUCUGGAAUGUCUUUGUUGUGUUUAGAACCCCCCAGCACUUGUACUUUCCUCGCAGCACGUUUGACCUGCUACUGGAAUCUGCACUUCUCUGAUUGCAAAUCCUAAAACUCCAAAUAAACUCUUUUCUUAUUUGCGGGCUUCCGAGC